UUUUUUAGAAAUGAAUUUAAUUCAUACAUCUUAUUUAAUUUCUGUUGUUGUUAUUAUUUAUUUUUAUUUGAUGUUAAGAUUAAGGGGGAUUAGCUCCUUAUUUUAUUUUUAUAAUUAUUAUGUUUUUAAUGGUUUAGUUUUGUGGAUUUUAUGGUGAUUUUCAAUUUGAUUAUGUUAAAAUUUUAUUUUUGCUUUUGUUUCUUUUUUGUUUAUUUAAGUUUUUAUUGGAAUGUUUUCUUUAUUUUGGUUUGUAAAGUAAUUAUUGUGUAAUUAGUAAAUUUUAUGUUAUUGUAUUGUUUUUAGGUUGAUGUUAAUUUCUUUUUAGGAAUUAGGCAAAUUUUGUGUCCGCCUGUUUAACAAAAACAUCUUUUCUCGUUAGUUUUUGAAGUAUAGCCUGCCCACUGACAUGAGGUUGAAGGGCCGCGGUAUUUUGACCGUGCAAAGGUAGCAUAAUCAUUAGUUCUUUAAUUGUGAUCUGGUAUGAAUGGCUUGACGAGAUACGAGCUGUCUUGGUGGAAUUAUUUGUUGAAUUUGGGGUUUGAGUUAAAAUACUUAGAUGUUUUUAUGGGACGAGAAGACCCUAUAGAGUUUGACAAUUUAUUUAUUAGUGUAGUGUUGUUUGUUUUGUUUAUUUAGUGAGUGGAAUUGUUUUGUUGGGGUGAUGGGAGGAAUUUUUUUAACUCCUCUUUGUUUAAGUAUAUUUGUGUAUAAUAUUAUUGAUCC
rnacentral:rRNA from 1 species